rnacentral:lncRNA from 1 species
CUUUCUUCGCAGCCUAGGCUUAAUGGCUGAAAUCAAGUGGUACUGCCUACGUGUGCCUGUUUGACCAGAGUCAUGCAAUAAGACAAUUUCAUGUUGCACGAUAGUACGGAAGAAAUGGA